AAGGAGAGAUCAGACGGCAAAACGGACAUCACUUUUGAACUCAGGACGGUCGAAAACCUUAGGAGGAGCAUAAAAGGAAAAAUGACACUAUUCACAUGUACGGUACUAUUCACGUGUACGGUACUGUAUACGUUACUGUUUACGACACUGUUCACAUAGACGGAUGAUGACGUGGCAUUGACCGAUGAUGUGGCAUUGACUGAUGAGGUGUCACGAUCCUGUUGGACUAAAAUUCUUAUGUACUGUUGAUGGUGACGUGGCAGCAUAUCAGUGGACGAAAAAUCUCGCGUACGGUGCAUGCAUCACACAGGAUUAUUUUCAACCAAACCGCGUUACUGUUCAUCCGGGUCAAACCGCGUUACUGUUCAAAGUCGGGUCAAACCGUGUUACUGUUCAUCCGCGUGGUCAAACCGUGGACUGUUGACUGAUGACGUGGCGCAAUCCUGAGCGUCCAAACUGUUUUUAAUCCGAUGGCCAUGAUUUACUCCAUGUAUCUAUAAAAAGGGGGCCUCCCCCCCUAAUUUGAGAUCUCUGAAUCCAUUUUUGGGAUUCAUUUUCUGUAAUUCCCUCUCCAUCUUGUAUUUUCUUCGUAUUUUAAUAAAUUCCCAUUUUGCCCCUAGUUCAAUUAUGAGUGGCUAAUUUUCUUUCAAGCUUGGGUUGAAGGUGAAGUCUCAACAUGUGUCAUGGGCUUAAUUUGGUAAAUUUACUUUCUCUUCCCCUCUAGUUUUUGUGGAUGUUUUGACUUCUCGUCGACAAAUAAUACUAAUCUUGUCUAGUACCGCCUUGGUUACACCGGCUCUCUAGUAUAAGGUUAUUAUUAUUUGGCACGAUAAGCCCUUAGCACCAUAUUGAUUAGAGCGUGGUUCAUGAGGUGUGGAUUCCCCCCUCAUGAUUUAAUUAGCAUUAAUACGGAUUAUUUAGCCCAUGAUGCAUGUUGAUACGGAUCCAGAUACCCAAGUACGUCAUUUCAAUAGAAUUAUCUUCAAUUUAUUCUCGCCAUUUUAAUUUAAGUUUUAGCAUAUACCAAAUCAUUUCCACCAUAAAUCCAACAACCCAUUUACAAAAUUAAUUCUACACAAUUAAAAUCCACCUCCUCGUGGGAUCGACACUCGUCACCAUAGAUCUAUACUACAAUAGAUUCGUGCGCUUGCGAGUACAUUAAAAUUUGCACAACACCCAUUAGCAUCACUGUAAUGUCUUUAAGUUUGUCGAAAAGCCUUUAAUUCUGAAUACUUGUCAUAGAAGCGCUGAUGCCACCCUUUAAAUUACACCAAACUCCAUUUAGUAAGGGCAGACACAGUUUUUGCAACCUUAUAUUGGAAAAGCCAAACAGGAUCACCCUGAGUAGCAGCACCUAUCCAACAAUCACUGACUAGACCUGUACAAGCUAGAUAAGCCUUCCAGUCCACUUCUAGAUAAGCCUUCCAGUCCACUUCUUAAUGAAAACGAGCCUUCAACCUUCUAUCUUGCAAAGAGUCCUCUGAACCAGUAAUAUCUAAAAGAAUAGGACAAUAAUCCAAUCACCAAAAAUCAAGAUAAGUAACUAUUGAACAUUAGCCCAAAUCUUGUCAAGCACAGUUACUAAAAAACAUGUCUAGGCAUUCCUCCACCAAACCCACAUCAUGCCACCGAUUAGCCCAAGUUAGGGUUGGCACUAUAUGGUUCGGUUAGGUUUAGAUAGAAAAUCGAACCGAACUGAAACUGAUUGGUCCUCUCAAAUUAAAACCGAAUGCAACCCAAAAUUUAAAACCAAACCGAACCGAUGGUUGUGUGGUGCGAGAAGAGCGGUUGCCAACUGCGUGUAUGGUGUUAGAGAGGAGCAGUUUCCAGUGGCAGAAAUAGGAUAUGCUGAUCAGAGUGUGAGAGUGUGUUGUCGCUGUGUUUGAGAGAUGAGUGUGUGAGAUUUAGGUUUCCGUUCAAUUUACCAAUAUAUAUAUAUAUAUAUAUAUGAUAUUAAAAUAUUUUUAUUUUUAAAUGAAAGAACCCAAUGGUUUUUUGGUUCAAUUCGGUUUUGAGCUGAAUCAAAUACAAACCAAUCGGUUCUUUAAUUUCCAAACCAUUGGGUUUUAUCUUUAAAACUAAAUCGAACCGAAUCGAAAAAUAUUGGUUCAGUUUGGUUCAGUUCGAUAAAAACCGAACUGAAUGCCCACUCGUAGCCCAAGUAUAUAGGCACCCCACAAAUCCCAUAUCAGUUAAUUCACAAUCCUAAAAAAAAGAAAGAGAUUGUACACCAAGGUGGCCAUUGUCUUUGUACAAUUUUAAGGUAGAAUUAGCAAUAAAUGCAUGGAUGGGGAUAUUUCCACCCCAUUAUUUGUGUAAACCCACUCCACUUCUAAAAAAUAUUUAAAAUAAAUGCACAUUCUUUUAUAAUA
rnacentral:lncRNA from 1 species